rnacentral:lncRNA from 1 species
UGUAAUUACAUAAAUGAAGCAUCAAAUUUACACUGUAAUUCUAGGAAAAAUUACACUGUAAUUACAUAAAUGAAGCAUGGACUUUACAUUGUAAUUCUGGGAAAAAUUACACUGUAAUUACAAAAAAUGAAGCAUUGGGAUUACACUAAAAUCUGGGCUAAAUUACACUGCAAUUCUAGGGUAUUUUACACUGCAAUUACAAAAAGAAAGCACUGGGAUUGCAAUGAAAUUCUGGGAUAAAUUACACUGUAAUACUAGGGGCAUACUACACUCUAAUUCUGGGCUAAAUUACACUGCAAUUCCUGUGAAUAAAAAAGGUAAGUCGUCAGAAAAUUGAAACUAGAUCAGAAAAGCUCACAUGAUUCAAAUAGAAAUUGAAAAUAGCUUUAUCAAACCCUACAUCCUCACUAGAAAGACCCUGAAAAAUAAUUCAGUCAACAAACAGAAAAACUAAUAAAUUGAAAGAGAGAAUAAAAAAGAGAAUGAAAGUAGAGAACAAGACAGAAAUAACUACCAAAGACAUAGCAUUAGUACCAUGUUCCGCAAAGUCAUUAGUCAGAAAAGGAUCAUUUAAAGAAUCAGCACUCUCAAUAGAAUAAACUACCGAAACAUCACUGUAUCUCAGGAUAUACACUGUAAUCAGAAAUUACACUGGAAUUUGUGACUCGGGAUAUACACUGUAAUCAGGAAUUACACUCGAAUUAGGGUGGAAAUUACACAGUACUGCUAGGACAAAUUACACUGUAACUGGAUGAUAAAUUACACAGUAAUUCUGGGAGGAAAGUUAUAUUGUAAUUCUGGGAGUAUUUGGAAGUAUUACACUGUAAAUUAGACAGUAAUUACAAACAUGGGAGAAUUGUAAAAGCAUGAGAAUUACACUGUAAUAUCGGAGUAUUACACUGUAAAUUACACAGUCGUACUACUAGAACAUAUUAUAUAGUAAUUACAACAACUAUGGGAGAAUUACACUGUAAAAAUGGGAGUAUUACACUGUAAAAUCAGGAACAGUGAGAUUCUGCAAACAGAUUAUACAGCAGUUACACUAAAAAUAUGGGGGGGUAAGAUCAAUGUAAAUUUGAGUUACAAUCCAAAGAGAUCCACUUGCAUGACUAACUAACCAAAUGCUGAAAACAAAUAGGAUUGCAAAGUAAAUUUACUGAAACUACACUGGGAUUUAUAGUGUAAGUACACUGAUAUUACAUUGUAAUUGCAUAGUUAGUACACUGAUAUUACAGUGCAAGUAACAAAGAAAGUACACUAAUAUUAGACUGUAAAUACACUGAUAAAUAGUUUAAGGAAACUGAACAUCGGCUGGAAAUUUCAGUGCAAACACUGUAAUACAAGCAUCAAAUUCAGAGAGAUUCCUGGAACACAUUCAGACACACCUCGGCUACCAGGGAAAAUCAUGAGCAGCCACCUACAACUACAAAAACUACAUCGAAUAAUCUCCAACUAUCAUCUAACGGAAAAGGAAACUAGCAGAAAAAUACAGGGAAAUCAACCUCUGCAACAACCAGUAUGCAUACCUCUAGCCAUUACAAACAGAAAAGCUAGACAGUGUAAGUGUAGGGAAAACUACAGUGUGGUUCUACAACAUACACUGAAAUUCGGAGGUACACUACAAUUCUGUGGGUAAAAACACAAUAGUAGAAGCAUCAAAUUCAGAUAAAUUCCUGGGAAACACAGCUACCAGGGGAAAUCAUGACCAGCCACCUACAACUAUCAUCAAACAGCAAAGGGAACAGACACCACAUGCUAGUAGAAAAUUUAACAAGGAAAUCACCCUGUGUACUAGUACCAGGUUGCAAGUUGAUCUGCUGCAACUACCAGUACGCGAACCUCCAGCAUCUACAGCACGAAAUAAACAAAUCUAAAGCCUAACACACCUAAAAUCAGGGGAGAAAAAAGACCACAAUGACCUAGAAGCCGCAACUACAAGCUCAUACGUAACUCAGGCGAGCAGAAUGGAUGCGGGAAAUUGGGCGGACUACGGAGGGCGGGCUAGAACAACACGGCAACACCUACCACGGAUCUAUGAACAACAGCAAACAGACGAUCCACAAACCCACGACGACGAAACUCACCUAGAUCUGGAACUACAGGACCACAACACCGGCAAAAAUACACGGGGGGAACGCGUGAGACAAGGGGAACCAACCUCGGCAGCCGGGGAGUGAAGAGAAAAGGGAGGAGAAAUCAAAUCGAACGAUGGAAUAGCUCGGAAUCACCAUGAAAUCGCCUCUUCUCCGCCGCCGCUCGAGUCCUCUCUCUCGGCCUUAUCAAAACACAGUGACCCAAAUGAAAGGGUGAAC